AGCGAACGCUGGCGGCAGGCCUAACACAUGCAAGUCGAACGGAUCCUUCGGGAUUAGUGGCGGACGGGUGAGUAACACGUGGGAACGUGCCCAUGGGUUCGGAACAACUCAGGGAAACGUGAGCUAAUACCGGAUGGGCCCUUCGGGGGAAAGAUUUAUCGCCAUUGGAGCGGCCGGCGUCUGAUUAGCUAGUUGGUGAGGUAACGGCCGACCAAGGCGACGAUCAGUAGCUGGUCUGAGAGGAUGAUCAGCCACACUGGGACUGAGACACGGCCCAGACUCCUGCGGGAGGCAGCAGUGGGGAAUCUUGCGCAAUGGGCGAAAGCCUGACGCAGCCAUGCCGCGUGAAUGAUGAAGGUCUUAGGAUUGUAAAAUUCUUUCAGCGGGGACGAUAAUGACGGUACCCGCAGAAGAAGCUCCGGCUAACUUCGUG
rnacentral:rRNA from 1 species